UUUUAAGGUACUUUUAAAGCUGUUUAAACUGUUCAGAAUAAAACUUUUCAUGCUAGAUAGAUGCCUCAAACUUAGAGGUUUUUGAAUAGUUUUAGGACAUAGUCUUUUAGUCAUCUCUAGGAAAGAGAUUAAGGAAAAAUCCAUUUUCCCUCCUAUUAAUUCUUAAAAAAUUGGGGGAAGGUUUUGUAUUAUAAAGGACUCAAUUUGUGAAGGGAUUAGUGUCUUUCUGCUUGUGCAUUGUGUUACUGUGACACUGUUCAAAUAAUGUUUGACUAGGUAGCUUAAAUGUAAUUUCUCUUUAAUAUAAACAUUUGUGUGGUAUUUCUUAUAUUCAUUUGCUUUUAGAUUGACACUUCUACAUGAGUUCUCUUAUAAGACUGUAUUGAAGGGAAGGUUCUUUCUUGGUUUCUUAAAAAAAUCCCAGACAGAAAAAUAGAUACAUGAAAUAGGUUAUUUUGUUUAGCUUGAAAAUCUGCCAUAGACUUCAGAGUAAAGGUUGGUAAAGAGAUAAACUUCAACUGAUGUGGGUAAUAAGUCUGAACUUUAAUUUGUGAUCCUGAAGAAGUGUUGAAAUUCCAAAAGUGGAAUAGUCGUCUUUAUUAGUUUUGGCUUUCAGUGAGCAACCUAGAAGAGAAUAUGUUUGUCUACAGUGUAUGUAUACUACAGUGUUUGUAUGCUAUAUACAUAGAUGUUUGUAACUCUUGCUUUCACAGGAUUAGAACAUGUGGUUGAAAUCAGAUUUGAAGGAAGAAAAGAGCCACAUUACGAGUGCAAGCUGUGUGGGUUUAAUACAGAGAUGGCACCUAUGAUAGAACAUCUUAGUGGAUAUAAACACAGAAGAGCAUACAUUUCUAAAGAAUUUCCAGAUAAAAUGAAGAGAAAGACAACAGAUGUAAAAGAAUGCAAAGUCUCAUUUCUCAGACGGAUAGCAGGAGAGAUAGAGAAGACUGAAGGAUUAAAAAUGUAUGAGAUUGAAGGUUACAUAAGACCAAGUACCUCACCCCCAUCAAAGAAGAAAGCAAGGUGGGAAGAUGAUUAUAAGCAUGUGAAUGAUCCCGUUCAGAAACAGAAAGCUCUAGAGUUCUUGGAGACUUUUCACAUCACCUCAGACUCAGAAGCAACACUUGUCAUUCACAUUACACAGGAACUCACAGAAGCUUUGAAGGCCUUUUGUGAAAAGAAAGCAGCAAUUAAUUAUGCUAAUAGUCUGAGGCCACUGAUGUCAGUAUCUCAAGAUGAAUUUCCAUCAAGGAAAAGCAUCCAAAACCACCAUAAGCCAUAUGGAAAAUCCAAAGGAAAUUCUAACUGGAAUCAAGUUUUUUUGUCUCAGUAUGAACAGUGUACUGCAAAUGCUUCAUUUGCUCCUGCUAACUCAUACGGUUACCAAACAGAUGAUGGAUCAUCUUCCUAUGGACUAAGACCUAAUGACUUUGCAAUGAUGUCUGCACUUAGUGACUCUUUCGCUCUUCAGACUGGAAGUCCUCCCAGUGGUGUCGAUGAAUGGCUGAGACAGUUCGGUGGAUCUGCCUCUGACAGUAAUUCAGCUGAUGGGACCUCUACCUAUGAGACAAAUUCAGUGAGUGAGUAUUCGGAAGAAUAUAUGUCCAGUGAUGUGCGAGGAAGUAAUCUCCCUGUCAGAAUGUCGUAUGGUGGGGAAAGUAUAAAUUGGAGGAAUCAAAAAGCAUAUACAAAAGCAAGGAAUAUAAGUGAUCAAGGAUUUUGCUAUCCCAGUUCUUCUGCCCCAUAUGCUUCAUCUGGGAGAUACUCAACAAACUAUCCUUCACAAAGCUAUUCUUACAAGGGUGAUGAGUCUAGGAAUACAUGCACAUUUUCUGCAAAUUCUGCUUCUUCAGGAAGAGGUAGCUCCAGGUGGAACCAGGAAUCUAGGUGUCUGGAAUUUAGGCAUCAGAAGUCAAACUACAGAAGUGAUUGGAGUUCACAUCAUUAUUACUUUUCUGGGAGUUGUUCUUACAGAGAUUUCCAGCAAUGCAGACGCUCGGAUAAGAUGUUUGAUGAAGAUGCUGUUGGUCUUACUCCCAACAUUUUGAAUAGAUUACGAGGAAAGGAUAUACCUACAAUGACCAGGAUGCUGAAACAGUUGGCUCCAUAUUAUCCAGCACUUCAGAGUAAGAUUGUGGUUAGUUCUCAUGUAAAAUGA
rnacentral:lncRNA from 1 species